AGUGAACGCUGGCGGUAGACCUAACACAUGCAAGUCGAACGGCAGCACAGUAAGAGCUUGCUCUUACGGGUGGCGAGUGGCGGACGGGUGAGGAAUACAUCGGAAUCUACUUUUUCGUGGGGGAUAACGUAGGGAAACUUACGCUAAUACCGCAUACGACCUACGGGUGAAAGCAGGGGAUCUUCGGACCUUGCGCGAUUGAAUGAGCCGAUGUCGGAUUAGCUAGUUGGCGGGGUAAAGGCCCACCAAGGCGACGAUCCGUAGCUGGUCUGAGAGGAUGAUCAGCCACACUGGAACUGAGACACGGUCCAGACUCCUACGGGAGGCAGCAGUGGGGAAUAUUGGACAAUGGGCGCAAGCCUGAUCCAGCCAUACCGCGUGGGUGGAGAAGGCCUUCGGGUUGUAAAGCCCUUUUGUUGGGAAAGAAAAGCAGCAGGUUAAUACCCCGCUGUUCUGACGGUACCCAAAGAAUAAGCACCGGCUAACUUCGUG
rnacentral:rRNA from 1 species